UAACGCGUAGGUAAUCUACCUCAAAGACGGGAAUAGCCUUCCGAAAGGAAGAGUAAAACUCGAUGGUCCCAUAUCACGCAAGUGUUUAUGGGUAAAACUCCGGUGCUUUGAGAGGAGCCUGCGUCCUAUCAGUUAGUUGGUGAGGUAAUGGCUCACCAAGACUAAGACGGGUAGCUGGCGUGAGAGCGCGAUCAGCCACAAUGGAACUGAGAACGGUCCAUACUCC
rnacentral:rRNA from 1 species